AGGCCAUGAUUGGGACAGCUCCUUAUGAAAGCUUUUAAUCUCUCCCAUGCCUCAUAGAUAGAUUCAAAUUCAAGUUGAGCAAAAGUUAUGAUGUCAUUCCUAAUUU